rnacentral:misc_RNA from 1 species
GUGAAUCAUCGAAUUUUUGAACGCAAAUUGCACUCUCUUCGGAGAGUAUGCCUGUUUGAGGGUCAGCCUAAAAAAAAAUCGACAUAGUUGCUGUUUCGUGGUGACAUUGGUCGGAAAUUGGGUCAUCUUAAACCUUUUGGUUUUAAGCGGCUUAAAAUUUUUUUUAAGUUUCCACGAAGGUUUGUAAGAUUUACUUCUUACGUUUAAGGUAUCGAUUUUUAUUAGACGUGUCUGUUGCAGAGGGGUAUGUUCAUAAAUAUUUGGGUAA